AUAUUUUAGUUCUCCAUAUAUUUUCAUUUGUUUUGCUUCAUUGGAUGCUUAUAAGAAAUUCACAUUAUGAUCUGGAAUUAUAGACAAUGAAGGGUUUUCCCCCAUUCAAGUUUUCCAUCUUUGACACCAGGAUACACUUCAUCACAAGACGAUUCAUCUCUUUUCCCCAUCUCUACACCCCUUUCUGAGGAACAUAGAAUUUAACAAUGCCACUGGUGACUCAGUGAAUUUGGCUGAAGAAAGAAAAUCAGAUGCAGAGUAUACCAUGCUCAACUUUUGGAAUUUUCCAGAAGGUCUUGGACUUACAGUGAAAGUAGGAGAGUAUUCCCCCACAUGCUCCACGUGGUCAAGAAUUGUCUUUAUCUGAGGAGGUGAUAGACUGGACUGUGGGAAUUCCUGAGACUCUGCACUCUGUAUGCAGUGAGAGUUGGCGUCCUAGAUUUAGGGAUAGCCCCCAGGAGAGAAAGGCUGUCUGUUGUUCUGACGGAACUCUCUGCCCAGAAAAUGAGAUUUCCACUGAGACAGAAAUGCCUCUUUUUAGAUACCUGAUUUCUUGCUCAUAGGCCUAACUUUGGGAGCCUACCUACAUCACCACCUCCUGAAAUGUAUUUAACUGGACUGACCUAUUGCCAGGACUAAGAGACCGGUCAGUGUUCAGUGAGAUGGAACAAUCUACCAACUCAGCUUCUGGACUGUGAAACUUCUUGAAGUUUCAAUGGCAGAAAUGUAGGGGAUCAAAAUGU